rnacentral:rRNA from 1 species
GGGUUGUGAGGUUAAGCGACUAAGCGUACACGGUGGAUGCCCUGGCAGUCAGAGGCGAUGAAGGACGUGCUAAUCUGCGAUAAGCGCCGGUAAGGUGAUAUGAACCGUUAUAACCGGCGAUUUCCGAAUGGGGAAACCCAGUGUGACUCGUCACACUAUCAUUAACUGAAUCCAUAGGUUAAUGAGGCGAACCGGGGGAACUGAAACAUCUAAGUACCCCGAGGAAAAGAAAUCAACCGAGAUUCCCCCAGUAGCGGCGAGCGAACGGGGAGGAGCCCAGAGCCUGAAUCAGCAUGUGUGUUAGUGGAAGCGUCUGGAAAGGCGCGCGAUACAGGGUGACAGCCCCGUACACAAAAGCGCAUGUGCUGUGAGCUCGAUGAGUAGGGCGGGACACGUGGUAUCCUGUCUGAAUAUGGGGGGACCAUCCUCCAAGGCUAAAUACUCCUGACUGACCGAUAGUGAACCAGUACCGUGAGGGAAAGGCGAAAAGAACCCCGGCGAGGGGAGUGAAAAAGAACCUGAAACCGUGUACGUACAAGCAGUGGGAGCACCCUUCGGGGUGUGACUGCGUACCUUUUGUAUAAUGGGUCAGCGACUUAUAUUCUGUAGCAAGGUUAACCGUAUAGGGGAGCCG